rnacentral:tRNA from 15 species
AAAAAUACCGAAAAAGUAAAGAAAAAACAAAGGAAAAGAAAAAAACAGAAGCAAGCACAAGGUUUGAACCAAGGCUUACGUUGGACCAUUUCAAAUUAAUUUUUCUUGCAAUGACUUUAUAGCUCUUGAUGACCAAAUAUAGCAAAUGGGUGAG